rnacentral:lncRNA from 1 species
UCCAACUGGAGAUGUGGAAUGGAGACUAAAGUACAAUACGAAUGACCUCAGCUCAUGCUAAACCAUACUACACAAAGACUCUGGUGUCCAAGUGCUUCAUGGGAAGACAGGUUUUCCGGCUUCCAAAGAGCUGUGUCUCUUCUUCACCUUGCAGAGGAAAGUGGCUUCAAUUCCAUUAAGGAGUAGGCAGCAGGAGACCCUAAACUACCUAUGGCUACCCUAUGAGGUGGUGAGUAUUCUAUCACAGAGGGAGAGCUCUUUUGCUCUGUAAAAAG